UUCUCGCUCUCAGUGUUCAUGGCGGAUCUUGAUUUAAUGUGGUACAAUUAAGGCACACGGUGAAUGCUAAGGGAGGGGCC
rnacentral:pre_miRNA from 1 species